rnacentral:lncRNA from 1 species
GGCUAGGGCUGGGGUGGGCUGGGAGGGAGGGAGGAUGUCAGAGAAGCAACUUCUCUUUCCCUCUGCUUUGUCCUGUACAGCUGGAGCAGAGUGAGGCCAAGUGUGAGGAUGCAUUGAAGACCCAGAAGGUGCUGACUGCGGACCUGGAAAGCAUGCACAGUGAACUGGAGAAUGUGACCCGGAGCAAGAGCCUGGUGGACGAGCAGCUGUACAGGCUGCAGUUUGAGAGAGCAGACCUCCUGAAACGCAUCGACGAGGACCAGGAUGACCUGAACGGCCUCAUGCAGAAGCACAAGGACCUCAUUGCACAGUCGGCUGCUGACAUCGGGCAGAUUCAAGAACUGCAGCUGCAGUUGGAAGAAGCCAAGAAGGAGAAGCAGAAGCUGUGGGAGCAGCUGCAGGUGGCUCAGCUUCGAAUUCAGUACCUGGAGCAGUCCACCGUGGAGCGUGCCAUCGUCAGCAGGCAGGAAGCCAUCAUCUGUGACCUGGAGAGCAAGACGGAGUUCCAGAAGGUGCAGAUGAAAAGAUUUGAGGUACCUAGAACUCUAGAGUCUAGGGGUGCUGGAACAGGGAGAGGUGUGUGAGUUCCUCCUCAGCCGGUCAUCAACUGGUUCUCAUACCUCGCCUGGGGCGAGUCCAACGUCUGCCUCUGUUCUCGUCCCUAACCUUUGCUUUGUCCUAUGUUCUUGUCCAUACUUCCUCAAGGCACCCUGUGCUCUUCCACCUUC